rnacentral:rRNA from 1 species
UAACCUGCCCAAGAGACUGGGAUAACACCUGGAAACAGAUGCUAAUACCGGAGUAACAACACUAGACGCAUGUCUAGAGUUUGAAAGAUGGUUCUGCUAUCACUCUUGGAUGGACCUGCGGUGCAUUAGCUAGUUGGUAAGGUAACGGCUUACCAAGGCAAUGAUGCAUAGCCGAGUUGAGAGACUGAUCGGCCACAUUGGGACUGAGACACGGCCCAAACUCCUACGGGAGGCAGCAGUAGGGAAUCUUCCACAAUGGACGAAAGUCUGAUGGAGCAACGCCGCGUGAGUGAAGAAGGGUUUCGGCUCGUAAAGCUCUGUUGGUAGUGAAGAAAGAUAGAGGUAGUAACUGGCCUUUAUUUGACGGUAAUUACUUAGAAAGUCACGGCUAACUACGUGCCAGCAGCCGCGGUAAUACGUAGGUGGCAAGCGUUGUCCGGAUUUAUUGGGCGUAAAGCGAGUGCAGGCGGUUCAAUAAGUCUGAUGUGAAAGCCUUCGGCUCAACCGGAGAAUUGCAUCAGAAACUGUUGAACUUGAGUGCAGAAGAGGAGAGUGGAACUCCAUGUGUAGCGGUGGAAUGCGUAGAUAUAUGGAAGAACACCAGUGGCGAAGGCGGCUCUCUGGUCUGCAACUGACGCUGAGGCUCGAAAGCAUGGGUAGCGAACAGGAUUAGAUACCCUGGUAGUCCAUGC